rnacentral:rRNA from 1 species
AACGGCGAGUGAAGCGGCAACAGCUCAAAUUUGAAAUCUGGCGCAAGCCCGAGUUGUAAUUUGUAGAGGAUGCUUCUGGGCAGCGGCCGGUCUAAGUUCCUUGGAACAGGACGUCAUAGAGGGUGAGAAUCCCGUAUGCGACCGGUUGGCACCCUAUACGUAGCUCCUUCGACGAGUCGAGUUGUUUGGGAAUGCAGCUCUAAAUGGGAGGUAAAUUUCUUCUAAAGCUAAAUACCGGCCAGAGACCGAUAGCGCACAAGUAGAGUGAUCGAAAGAUGAAAAGCACUUUGGAAAGAGAGUUAAAAAGCACGUGAAAUUGUUGAAAGGGAAGCGCACGCAACCAGACUUGUUGGCGGUGUUCCGCCGGUCUUCUGACCGGUCUACUCGCCGCCGACAGGCCAGCAUCACUUGGGUGCGCCGGAUAAAGGCGCGGGGAAUGUAGCUCCCUUCGGGGAGUGUUAUAGCCCCGCGCACAAUACGGUGCCGCCCGAGUGAGGUCCGCGCUUCGGCUAGGAUGCUGGCGUAAUGGUUGUGUGCGGCCCGUCUUGAAACACGGACCAAGGAGUCUAACAUCUAUGCGAGUGUUCGGGUGUCAAACCCCUACGCGUAAUGAAAGUGAACGGAGGUGGGAACCGCAAGGUGCACCAUCGACCGAUCCUGAUGUCUUCGGAUGGAUUUGAGUAAGAGCAUAGCUGUUGGGACCCGAAAGAUGGUGAACUAUGCCUGAAUAGGGUGAAGCCAGAGGAAACUCUGGUGGAGGCUCGCAGCGGUUCUGACGUGCAAAUCGAUCGUCAAAUUUGGGUAUA